AACGCGAAGAACCUUACCAGAGCUUGACAUCUCCUGCAUAGUCCGUAAUGGGAUGAAAUCCUUCGGGACAGGAAGACAGGUGGUGCAUGGUUGUCGUCAGCUCGUGUCGUGAGAUGUUGGGUUAAGUCCCGCAACGAGCGCAACCCUUAUACUUAGUUGCCAUCAUUAAGUUGGGCACUCUAAGUAGACUGCCGGAGACAAUUCGGAGGAAGGUGGGGAUGACGUCAAAUCAUCAUGCCCCUUAUGUUCUGGGCUACACACGUGCUACAAUGGGUAUAACAACGGGAAGCAAGCCAGUGAUGGUGAGCAAAUCCCUAAAAAAUACUCCCAGUUCAGAUUGUUCUCUGCAACUCGAGAACAUGAAGUCGGAGUUGCUAGUAAUCGCGAAUCAGCAUGUCGCGGUGAAUACGUUCCCGGGUCUUGUACACACCG
rnacentral:rRNA from 1 species